GUAAGAAUCCUACCUUCUAGUGGAGAAUACUCUCGAGAAAUCGAGCAUAAUACUGCAUGAGUCCCUUCGGGGAGAAAGAUGGCCUCUUUGCUGUCGCUAGAAGAUGAGCUUGCGUACUAUCAGCUAGUUGGUGGGGUAAAGGCCUACCAAGGCUAUGACGGUUAGCCGGCCUGAGAGGGUGUACGACCACACUGGAACUUAGACACGGUCCAGACUCCUACGGGAGGCAGCAGUGAGGAAUAUUGCGCAAUGGGCGAAAGCCUGACGCAGCGACGCCGCGUGGAGGAUGAAGGUCUUCGGAUUGUAAACUUCUGUUAAGUGGGAAGAAAUCCUUCUGUUUAAUAAACGGAAGGGAGACGGUACCAUAGAA
rnacentral:rRNA from 1 species